rnacentral:rRNA from 1 species
CGGCGAGUGAAGCGGCAACAGCUCAAAUUUGAAAUCUGGCUCCUUCGGGGUCCGAGUUGUAAUUUGUAGAGAGUGUUUCGGGUGAGGCCGCGGUCUAAGUCCAUUGGAACAUGGCGUCAUAGAGGGUGAGAAUCCCGUAUGUGACCGUGGAUCGAGCCCAUGUGAAGCCUCUUCGACGAGUCGAGUUGUUUGGGAAUGCAGCUCAAAAUGGGUGGUAAAUUUCAUCUAAAGCUAAAUACUGGCUGGAGACCGAUAGCGCACAAGUAGAGUGAUCGAAAGAUGAAAAGCACUUUGGAAAGAGAGUGAAACAGUACGUGAAAUUGUUGAAAGGGAAGCGCUUGCAACCAGACCUGCCCGUAGGCGAUCAGCCGCUGUUCUCAGUGGUGCACUCGCUCUGCGAUCAGGCCAGCAUCGGUUUCGGCGGCCGGAUAAAGGCCUUGGGAAUGUAGCUCUCUUUCGGGGGAGUCUUAUAGCCCUCGGUGCAAUGCGGCCAGCCGGGACCGAGGACCGCGCUUCGGCUAGGAUGCUGGCGUAAUGGUUGUAAGCGACCCGUCUUGAAACACGGACCAAGGAGUCUAACAUCUAUGCGAGUGUUUGGGUGUUAAACCCAUGCGCGGAAUGAAAGUGAACGGAGGUGAGAACCCUUAAGGGCGCAUCAUCGACCGAUCCAGAUGUCUUCGGAUGGAUUUGAGUAUGAGCAUAGCUGUUGGGACCCGAAAGAUGGUGAACUAUGCCUGAAUAGGGUGAAGCCAGAGGAAACUCUGGUGGAGGCUCGCAGCGGUUCUGACGUGCAAAUCGAUCGUCAAAUUUGGGCAUAGGGGCGAAAGACUAAUCGAACCAUCUAGUAGCUGGUUCCU